UGGACAGCACUAGAAAGUGAAGACUUCUGUUUGUGCACAGCACAGGAGGAGAGGCACAGCAAGCCUCCCUGCUUUGCCGUGUCAGCUCUCUGCAGCCCUGUUUUAGCAGGAUCACAAAAGGAGCAGGAGUGCAUCCAUACCCCUGCACACCUUGGCAAAA
ensembl:misc_RNA